rnacentral:rRNA from 1 species
GACGAACCGUGCAAACGUUGUUCGGAAUCACUGGGCUUAAAGGGCGCGUAGGCGGGCGCACAAGUCAGGGGUGAAAGCCCACGGCUCAACCGUGGAAGAGCCUUUGAUACUGUGUGUCUUGAGGGAGGUAGGGGCGUGCGGAACUUCCGGUGGAGCGGUGAAAUGCGUAGAUAUCGGAAGGAACACCGGUGGCGAAAGCGGCGCGCUGGACCUCUUCUGACGCUGAGGCGCGAAAGCCAGGGGAGCAAACGGG